UACGUAGGGGGCAAGCGUUGUCCGGAAUUAUUGGGCGUAAAGAGCGUGUAGGCGGUCCGGUAAGUCCGCUGUAAAAGUCGGGGGCUCAACCCUCGAACGCCGGUGGAUACUGUCGAGCUUGAGUACGGAAGAGGCGAGUGGAAUUCCGAGUGUAGAGGUGAAAUUCGUAGAUAUUCGGAGGAACACCGAUGGCGAAGGCAGGUCUCUGGGCUGACACUGACGCUCAUGCACGAAAGCGUGGGGAGCAAACAGG
rnacentral:rRNA from 1 species